rnacentral:rRNA from 1 species
GUUAUCUCAUGCUGAAUACAUAGGCAUGAGAAGCGAACCAGGGGAACUGAAACAUCUAAGUACCCUGAGGAAAAGAAAUCAACCGAGAUUCCCUUAGUAGUGGCGAGCGAACGGGGACCAGCCCUUAAGUUGGUUUGAGAUUAGCGGAACGCUCUGGAAAGUGCGGCCAUAGUGGGUGAUAGCCCUGUACGCGAAAAUCUCUUGUCAAUGAAAUCGAGUAGGACGGGGCACGAGAAACCUUGUCUGAAUAUGGGGGGACCAUCCUCCAAGGCUAAAUACUACUGACUGACCGAUAGUGAACUAGUACCGUGAGGGAAAGGCGAAAAGAACCCCGGAGAGGGGAGUGAAAUAGAUCCUGAAACCGUAUGCGUACAAGCAGUGGGAGCAGACGUUGUUCUGUGACUGCGUACCUUUUGUAUAAUGGGUCAGCGACUUAUAUUCAGUGGCGAGCUUAACCGAAUAGGGGAGGCGUAGCGAAAGCGAGUCUUAAUAGGGCGUUUAGUCGCUGGGUAUAGACCCGAAACCGGGCGAUCUAUCCAUGGGCAGGUUGAAGGUUAGGUAACACUGACUGGAGGACCGAACCGACUACCGUUGAAAAGUUAGCGGAUGACCUGUGGAUCGGAGUGAAAGGCUAAUCAAGCUCGGAGAUAGCUGGUUCUCCUCGAAAGCUAUUUAGGUAGCGCCUCAUGUAUCACUGUAGGGGGUAGAGCACUGUUUCGGCUAGGGGGUCAUCCCGACUUACCAAACCGAUGCAAACUCCGAAUACCUACAAGUGCCGAGCAUGGGAGACACACGGCGGGUGCUAACGUCCGUCGUGAAAAGGGAAACAACCCAGACCGUCAGCUAAGGUCCCAAAAUCCUGGUUAAGUGGGAAACGAUGUGGGAAGGCUUAGACAGCUAGGAGGUUGGCUUAGAAGCAGCCACCCUUUAAAGAAAGCGUAAUAGCUCACUAGUCGAGUCGGCCUGCGCGGAAGAUGUAACGGGGCUCAAACCAGGUACCGAAGCUACGGGUAUCACCUUUUGGUGAUGCGGUAGAGGAGCGUUCUGUAAGCCUGUGAAGGUGAGUUGAGAAGCUUGCUGGAGGUAUCAGAAGUGCGAAUGCUGACAUGAGUAACGACAAUGGGUGUGAAAAACACCCACGCCGAAAGACCAAGGUUUCCUGCGCAACGUUAAUCGACGCAGGGUUAGUCGGUCCCUAAGGCGAGGCUGAAAAGCGUAGUCGAUGGAAAACAGGUUAAUAUUCCUGUACUUCUGGUUAUUGCGAUGGAGGGACGGAGAAGGCUAGGCCAGCUUGGCGUUGGUUGUCCAAGUUUAAGGCGGUAGGCUGGGAUCUUAGGUAAAUCCGGGAU